AUACGAAGGGGGCUAGCGUUGUUCGGAAUAACUGGGCGUAAAGCGCACGUAGGCGGAAUGUUAAGUUAGAGGUGAAAUCCCAGGGCUCAACCCUGGAACUGCCUUUAAUACUGGCAAUCUAGAGAUCGAGAGAGGUGAGUGGAAUUCCGAGUGUAGAGGUGAAAUUCGUAGAUAUUCGGAGGAUCACCAGUGGCGAAGGCGGCUCACUGGCUCGAUACUGACGCUGAGGUGCGAAAGCGCGGGGAGCAAACAGGAUUAGAAACCCCAGUAGUCC
rnacentral:rRNA from 1 species